CAGCCGCCGCGGUAAUACGAAGGGUGCAAGCGUUAAUCGGAAUUACUGGGCGUAAAGCGCGCGUAGGUGGUUUGGUAAGAUGGAUGUGAAAUACCCGGGCUCAACCUGGGAACUGCAUCCAUAACUGCCUGACUAGAGUACGGUAGAGGGUGGUGGAAUUUCCUGUGUAGAGGUGAAAUGCGUAGAUAUAGGAAGGAACACCAGUGGCGAAGGCGACCACCUGGACUGAUACUGACACUGAGGUGCGAAAGCGUGGGGAGCAAACAGGAUUAGAUACCCCGGUAGUCCCUGUCUCUUAUAC
rnacentral:rRNA from 1 species